UCCCCAGGAGUCCCCUCCACCAAGGCACUUUCUAGCAUGUCACCCCGUUUCCUCUUCUCAGGAUCACUCACCACCAUCUGAAAUGAACUUGAGCAUGUGUUGACUUGGGGAACAUCUCUCCCCCUCCUUGCCUGUUGUGAGCUCAAGGAAAAUCAGGGACCGACCUGACUUAUGAACCUGUGUCCCCAGCACCUAUAGUGGGUACCCAGCCCACAGGUGCUGGCUGUACAUGAUGCUGAGGACUCCGAGGGUGAGCCUGGCAUCCGAGUCCUGGGCUCAAGUCCUGAUACAGCUAUUCCCAGGCACCUGACUUUGGGAGAGAUGCCUCCUCUCUGGGUCAAGGUUUUUUCCUUUGUGGCAUGAACCAGUACUCCAGUAUCCAUCACUCACGACUGCUGGGGCUCAAAGACAAGGUGACAUGUGUCAAGGUGCUUGGCCAACUCAGAGAAUUGUACAAAGAGAAGUGACCAUGUUAAGUUGCUGGCCCACUCCUAGGUAGAAGUCAGGGAGUGGCCUAAGGAAGAGCAUGGUGAUGGCCCGCCUGGCGGAAGUCUGCAGUGUGUGGGUGUGUGUGUGCAGAUGUGUUUGUACAUGCAUGUUAUUAAUGUUGUUUAAUUGCCAUUCAGGCUCCAUAAAUAGUAGCUAAUUCUUCCUAUGUGCCGAGCAUAUACACUCACUUAAUUCUUGCAACAACCCUGUGUGGUAGGCACUGCUGUUACCACAUCAUCCCCCUUCUACAGAUAAGGGAACUGAGGCAAGGGAGAAGAAAUGACACAAUCUCCUGGACCCUCUUGAUGCCACUGUGGACAACAGGCCACCUGAACUCACGUUUCCAGGCUCCACUUGGCCAUUUCUGUGACUCUAAGUUCCCCAAUCAAAGCUUAAAUUCAUCACGUUGGCGUCCUUUGAGGUUCUCCUGGGACAUGGACGUGGUGCAUGGGGCUGUGUUCACCUGUGGUGGGGACAUGUCAUCUCCUUCGGGGCUCCACUUGACCAGACCCAGUUCUCGUGACACUGCAGGCAGGAGAGAGCAGCAUGCAUCACAUGGGGCUGGGGUCUUCUGA
rnacentral:lncRNA from 1 species